AUAUCUGGCUGGACGGCGACCCACUGCCCACCAGCAUGCUCGACAUGUGCAUGCUUCUCAGGGUGGGCAGAGAACCUGACCUCGCUUGAUGCCGACAUCCACGCCACGAGAACUUGCAGCGCCGAAGAGCAAAGGAUGCCCGAGGACUAGCUAGCCCGUCAGACAAGCUGCAUAUCUGUCGAAAGUAAAGUUUGUUUCAGAUAUCGGGCGGAGACGGGGCGGCCCCGGUGGAGGCGGUGGCGCGACGUCGACAGGGCGGCGCCGACGGAGGCGGUGACGGCGCGGCGACAGGAUCAAGAGAUACGUAUUUUCUAUCGAUCUAUUGCGAUGCCGAUGGCAUGAAAAAAAGUCAGGUCCCUGCUAAUUAACUUUCUAUUACUCGUCUCUUCCUGUAGUAUCAAAAUGUACCGUAAAAAACAUCUACAUUUCAAGGUUUAACUUUGAUCAU